CUCAACAUGUUUCCUGUAGCUCUGCUGCUGCUGUUGGCAGCUGGAUCCUGUGUGAAGUGUCAAACGUUGACACAGCCAGCCUCUGUGACUGUGCAGCCAGGUCAACGUCUGACCAUCACCUGUCAGGUCUCUUAUUCUGUUAGUAGCUAUUGGACAGCUUGGAUCAGACAACCUGCAGGAAAAGGACUGGAGUGGAUUGGGAGGAGAGUUGGAUCUUCUACAAACUAUAAAGAUUCACUAAAGAACAAGUUCAGCAUUGACUUAGACUCUUCCAGAAACACAGUGACUCUAAAUGGACAGAAUGUGCAGCCUGAAGACUCUGCUGUGUAUUACUGUGCCAGAGACUCACAAUAACACAAACCAUCAGUA